UACAGAGGUCUCAAGCGUUGUUCGGAUUCAUUGGGCGUAAAGGGUGCGUAGGUGGCGGGGUAAGUCAGGUGUGAAAUCUCGGGGCUCAACCUCGAAACUGCACUUGAUACUGCCUUGCUAGAGUCCGGAAGAGGUGAGUGGAAUUCCGAGUGUAGAGGUGAAAUUCGUAGAUAUUCGGAGGAACACCAGUGGCGAAGGCGGCUCACUGGUCCGGUACUGACGCUGAGGUGCGAAAGCGUGGGGAGCAAACAGG
rnacentral:rRNA from 1 species